CACACACAUGUCAACUACAGCUUUGGACGCCCCCGGAAAAUAAAAUUGGGCCUUUUGGUCUUAGCCCAUUUAGGUUUUGAUUGUGGAUUAGGACCGAUUGGAAAAAAAAAACUCGAAAUUUAUAUUUCAAUUUUUUUAAAAAAAAUUUUAAAAAUAUAUCUCUGCCCAUUUAGGUUUAAAAAAAAAUAUUUAUCAAUUUUAAUCUUGUCUUUGAAAAUAUAUAUAACUAGUGGUUGUCUGGAAAAUUAUAAUGAAAAUUAUUUUAUAUAAAUAUAUAUAAUAAAUAUAUAUAUUAAUAUAUGAAACAAUUUAAAAAAAGUAUGUGUCAAUAGAAAAAUGAUAUUACAAACAUAUGUAUGAUUAAUUAGUUUAUAUAUAAAUGGUGCAGAGGAGACGUAUCAAGCAAAAAGAAAAGGUGGAGCGAGAAGAAUGAUGAUAUACAUGCCACCUAGCUUUUCUGGCCGUGCUUCCGGUCGCGGUCGUGGUUGGACCAUGUCGACCAAACCAUGAACUACCGAUUACUUCAUUUUAAUUACAGCUACAUAUGUUGAAUGUUUUAUCUCUAGCAAUUUGUAUAUUCUCCAUUUAUUCUUAACCGUGUUUUGUCCGAUUAGUAACUUAAGCAAUAAAAUUGCUCUUAGUGAAUUUAUUUUAUAUAGAAAGUUAAAAUCACUAAGACUUGAUGUUCAAUAGUAACCAACAAAAUACAGAACUUGUUCCUUUCUCCUCUCUCUGGUUGUCUUCUUGUCCGAGAUUUUACUUAAAUGUGCCAUAAGAUGCAUGAACGACAAAGCCGAAGAUGGCUGCUUCCCCUGGAUGCUGAAUAGAAUUGUCUCAUAGCCGAAGAGCUAUCUCCUCACAGGUGGCGCGCCUCCCCUUCCUCCUGUUCCAUGCCCAAGUACCCUGAGCACUGAUGACAUGACCAAUAUUGAAUUAGUUGCUUUAAAUUUCCAAAACAUUUGUUUAUUGACAAGAGAUAUAAAGAAUAUUCUGAUAUAGCUGUUGGAGAAGAAUUAAAUAGAUGCUCCGGGAAUCGAAGACCUCUGCAUGUUCAGUAUUAGAGGCUCCUCCUCUGCAUGUUUAGUAUUUCAAAUUAGAGGUUCCACUUUCUGUAGUAUAAAUAUAUGUAACCCUGUUAUGAAUAAUUAUAAUCUAAGGGAAUUCAUUUUCUUCCAAGUUACUUUCUCUCUUAGUCUCAACUCUCUUUCUCUGUUUCUUGUUAAGGAAUUAUAACUUUCAUUGCACCCAUAGUUGUUAGUGAUCAUGGUAUCCAAGUACGAAGAAAUCUCAGUUCCUGCUGUUAAUGAUCUCAUCUUGGUCUCAGACAAGGUUUACACUGUGAGAGAAGUUCUUGACAUGGAGAAGUUAAUGGCGAAUUACUUUGCGAUUCAAUUUCUGUUUGCCAACUCCAUACGUGUUCAUGAGGAGGUUUCUCAAAGCUGCACAAUCUGACCAAGAGAUUUUAUUGAGCUUCUAUCAUUCUUCAUCAUCAAGCUCAGCUUAGUAGAGUACGAGAUAUGAUGCUUCAUUACGCUCCGUCUCAAAUCGACAAGAGAUCAAUGGUGAUUCAAGAAACGACUCAGAGAGAGAGAGAGAGAGAGAGAGAGCUUUGGCUGAAGCGGAAUCUCUGGUUGAGAAAGAACUAGAAGGAGCCAUCAGAGAGAUUGUAGAAGUAGAGUAUGAGUGACCGAGUAACCUAUCGUGAUAUGGGGAUCAUGGAAGAGGUUCUCAAUCAACGCCAAAAACAGGUGUGCUGGGCCAUCAGCCUAACAAGACAGCUAGCAGCACUGCUCAAACUUCGUGGACAACUAAAUAUCAAUGCAAGCCUGUCGAUUCAGUAUUUGAUUAACAAAGUAGGGAGUUCACUUUUUGGAGCACAAAUGCUGAGGCCAUGGAAUGGGUCCGUGAGGUCGUUGCAAACAGCUAUCCCAUUCCUGGUCAAUGGGACAGUAUUGGAGAAUCUUGUUCCUCUGCGACAAUUCGACCUACAGAGUUCAACUCCAGAAAAUCAUGUUCUUGGAGAGCGACGUUACAGAGCUGUAUGUAUUGUUGUACACCACAUCGACGAAUAUCGAGGUAUUGUUUAUUCUUGGCCCAGUUAAACCCAACGAGUUUUUUUAAAGACACAUUAAUAUCAGCUUUUUUUUUUUUGAAAUGAAAAUAUAAACAUUAAAGGUAGACGAAAGCAACAAAUUAACAAAAUAGAGAUUUAAGCUUUAUACAAGAACUAUAAAGCUAGAGAGAGAGACUAAAGCAUGAACUUAGAUAAAAGACAAAAACCGACCUUAAGAAUAGAGUUUAACCUUCAAACCUGCAACAACAAACACGAAGCUUUUAAUUAAAGGGAGUAGAGGCGAAAAGAAAAACAAAAGAAGAAAAAAAACCCACCAAGAAGAUGAAGAAACAGCGACCCGAAGUGUGUAAGAGAUGUGUUUGAGGAGAAUCGGAGAAGAUAUGAAGUGACAGAAACACAAAGCUUGUAGGGUUUUUUCUGUCUUUGAGGAGAAUCGGAGAAGAUACGAAGUGACAGAAACACAAAGCUUGUAGGGUUUUUCUGUAUUUGAGGAGAAUCAGAGAGAUAUGAAGUGACAGAGACCCCUAUAUAUAUAUUGUGAGAGUCAAGAGAGGGUGUUGUGUACUGUUAGGGUUUUGUUGUCUUUGGUUACCACACAACAGGACAAAGCUCAUGAACUUUUUUUAAAAAAAAAUUGUAGUUUUGGUUUCUUUGUCAGUGUGAAACUCAUAUCCCUCGAAUUGUCUCAUGACCAUUUCGUUUUGAAUAAUUUAAAAUUUAUUUUAUGUUUUUGAUUAAAAAAAAAUGAGAAAAAAGAAACAGCUUUAUCUUGUACUUGUACUGUACUGAUACUUGCAGAGAGGAGAGAGGGAAAAGUUUUUUUGUUUUAACCCUGGUGAAAAAGUUCUUUUAAAAAAACAUUAAGGAAAAUAUGUAGAAUUGGUAUAAAAAAGGGAAAACAAACAUCUCUAGGAAAAUAGGCAAGCAUUCUUGUGUCGUCUUAUGCAAAUAUUGAAACUUGUUGCUAUUCGUGUUGUAGACACCAAGGCGAACAAAAGCUGCCACUAAUACGACGUCGUUACUCAGGAACAAGAGAGGUUUUGCAUAUGUAUGUAUUAUCCCUGUGAGCUGCACAUCUUUUCAUUAGCCCACACGAUUUUUCUUGAACUGUUGUAACUCAUAUCCUCCUCUCGAAAUUCGAACAAAGUAGAGCUAACUUUACUUCUUAGCUGAUCAAAUCUAGAGAAGAACCGUCGCUUAUUACAACUUACUGGCAAUGGAAAGAAAGACCAAGUUUCGGUUUUGCAUACAUAACUGAAUCUCACAUUAUUUUUCCCAGCUAACCAAUGCCAGAAACCGUACAAUGAUUGUGGUUUUCCGAAAAAACUCGCCACUUGGUACGUAGUUCUAAAUAAUCCAAUCGCUUCCACGCGUAAGUAUCAGAAUCAAAAACCUCACAGUUGAGAUUAUAGAAGCCCUGAUCACUCGUCUUCCUUCUUUCUCACGAUAGUGGUUCAGAAACCCGUAAUGAUCUUAUAUCGACUGAAUCACCAUCAAACCAAUUGCAAUAGUAAAAAGUACCGGGUUUUCGGGUUUGGUAUUAUCCGAUAUUGUUCUGGAGUCGGUUAUUUUCUGUAAUGUAAAUUUGAAUGUCUUUUUUUUUUCCUGUAACGGCCCACGCUCAUGCCGCGCGCCUCCUACUACCUCACUUUCUGGUCUCUACCACCGUACAACACGGCCAGCUCCAUCGCAAGACUCCUCAACGCCUCCGCCACAGAGAUUCAGUCCAUCAACAACCUCACCUCCCUAAACCGCCACAAUCCCCACCCGUCGCUUAGUCGUCAUCCCGACCACCUGCUCCUGCUCCGGCGGUGGCCUUUACAGGUUCCACGAGCUUCGAACAAGAUCAACGGCGACAACGCAAGGUGAUCAAAGGAGACGUCUCUUCCUCUGAGAUCAGUCUCUUGAAGAAGCUGAACCAUUCCAACAUCAUCCGUCUCUCGAAGAACGGAUCGGUCAGAGAGAGACUGGCUUCACUCGUCGAACAAGAAGAAGGCUCUGACAUGGAGACAGAGAGUGGAGAUCUGUCGGAAGGCGUUGGGCUACUUGCACAACUACGUGACGCCGCCUCAUAUCCACAAGAACUUGGAAGGUGACGUUGAUCUUUAGUUGACCAGACAUAUCCAAGGAACGCAAGGCUACUUAGAGCACGUCCAACGCAUGAUUUAAGGGGGUCCUUAGCCAUAAUCUCUUCCAUUCGCCGAUUAAAAAACUAUUAAAAUAACCCCUAAAGCUAAGGAUUAAUCCUAAGUUAAGGAUUAGUCCGCUCGGGUCCAUAAUGCGCUGGCAGGCUCUGAUUGGCUGAGAGGGCGAUGAUGUUUCGUGUGGGAAGAGAAAGAAAGACGCAUCGUCUUUCACUUUGUCGAGGCAAGAAAAAAAAAACCCGAGACGCGACAAAGAGGCGAUAGAGAGGCGAGUCACGACCGGCCUUUUGGAAGGUAAUCCGACCUCUCCUUCUUUUUGAUUUCGUUCAGUGGUUGUUUCUUAUCAAUUUCAUCGGUUUAAAGGGUUCGAUUAUGGCGUUAAACCGAUUUAGGGUUUGAAAUUAUUUUGGGGAUUUCAAUCGAAUUAGGGUUUUCGUCGGGGGUUUCUAUUUUCUUCUUCUGUUGGUGAUGGUUUGAUGUUGUCGAGGCGAUUAGAGGUUGGGGAUUGAGAAAACCCAAAUUGUUCAAAUCGAAUUAGGGUUUUCUUUAAAAGUUUGGUUUUAACAGCGACCAGAACAUGAAGUUCACAUCAAAAAUCGGGCAAAGUGAAAACGACGUCAUGAAGGCAGCCUUGGAUAUCUUCAACAGCGACCAGAACAUGAAGUUCACCUUAGAACACGCGUGGAGGGAGCUUAGGCAUGAUGUUAAGUGGUGCUCCACUUAUAUGGAGAAGGACAAGGAUAAGCGGAAGGCUCCUGAAGUGCCUGUGCCAGAGCCAGAAGAUAGACCAGUUGGUGUCAAGGCUGCUAAGGCCGCGGGUAAGAGGCAAAAAACUAGAAAAGAUGAGGAGUUCUCGCAGCUAGAAGGACUUAUGGAGAUGAAAAAGCAAAUCUCAAGGCAAAGUUUGCUGGAGAGGUUGCUUGCAAAGCCGGAGCCCCUCGAUGAGAUGGAAUCAGCUCUCAAAAAUAAAUUGUUGUCUUAAUUGUUGUCAUGAGUGAUGGUUUGUUUAGCUUUUGCUUGCAUUAUAGUUUUGAUAGCAUUGUUUACUUUGUUGUGAUAUGAACUGUUGACUGAUAUGAAAUGCUUUGUUUCAGGUGGAGUACAAGAGACGAGGUCACGGGUUGUCAAGAGUACAAGAGAAGAGGUCACGGGUUGUCUACUAGUUUCACGGGUUCAUGUAUGUUUUUCCUUGCGGAUGUGAACCAAGACAAGAAGUUCACGGGUGUUGUCUUUAUAUCUUCAAGUGUUGUCUUUAUAACUUAGUGUAUGUAUGUUUUUCCUUUCAUGUCUGAACUUGAACCAUCUAUGUAUCAAACUACUAUCAUGAAAUGCAGUUUCUCUUCUUCUUGUUGAUCGCAUCAAUUUGUCAAACACAAAAGACCAUAAGUUAACAAGCAUCAAUAUACAACAAGUUGACGCAACCAAGAAGCAAGUUAAUCCCAAGUUGAUCGCAUCAAGUUGAUGCAACCAAGAAGCAACAAGCAAGUAACAAGCAUCAAUAUACAACAAGUUAAUCCCUUAACUUAAACAUAUUAACGUCCUCGAUCGAUCUCCUGUUUUUGAUGACAUUUUCGAAGGUAGAGCUCCAAGGGUACAAUACCAGGUCAACGGACACCAUUAUGGAUUGCCUUACUACCUCAGAGACGGUAUAUAUCCAAGAUGGUCAACAUUUAUCCAAUCUAUCUCAAACCCUCAAAGUCCAGAAGAACAGUUAUUUGCUAAAGUACAAGAGUCAACCCGAAAAGACGUGGAGCGUGCUUUUGGAGUAUUGCAAGCUCGAUUUGCAAUAAUCAAAAACCCGGCUAUUUUGUGGGACAAGAGACAAAUCGGGAUGGUUAUGCGAACAUGUAUCAUACUGCACAAUAUGAUCGUAGAAAAUGAACGCAAUGGAUAUACUCAGUGUGAUAUAUCAGAGUUUGAGGAAGGCGAAUCGAGUAGAACUUCAGAGGUGGAUAUGUCAUAUGCUCGCAAGCCUUCAAAUCUUCGUGCUAUGCUUGAAAUUCGUAGCCAAGUUCGUGACCAACAUAUACAUGAACAACUUAAAUUUGAUUUGAUUCAAAAUAUUUGGAACAAAUUUAAUGAUGAAAAUGUUUGAUAGUUGUAUGUUUU